rnacentral:lncRNA from 10 species
CCUGACGUCAAAUGAUCCACCCGCCUCCGCCUCCCAGAGUGCUGAGGAGGGAGGGUUGCUUGGUACCAGGAGUUCAAGACCAGCCUGGGCAAUGAGGCGAGACCCUUGUCUCUACAAAAAAAUUUAAAAAUAGUGGGGCAUGGUGGCAUGAGCCUGUAGACCCAGCUACUCAGGAAGGUGAGGUGGGAGGAUCCCUUGAGCCUGGGAGGUUAAGGCUGCAGUGAGCUAUGAUCAGGCUACUGCACUCCAGCCUGGGCAAAAGCAUGAGACUCAUCUCUAAAAAAAAAAUCAAAAACCAAAAAUCAAAUUAAAGAUACCUCCCCAAGAAGUUCUAAGUAACAUCAAAGGCAAUUACAAAUCAGUUUGGUUUAGGAGUACAGUGUCAUCAGCCACAAAUGACUCUGCACAAGUAUCCACAGGCAGCAGAACUCAUUUCAAAACUAUUCAAGACUAUUUCAAUCAGCUCAUUUCGAUCAGCUAUUAAGAUUUACAAUCAUGAUUAGGAAAGCAUGUAUCAUGUUGACAGGUGUCUAAUUUGGUUAUGUUGAUCAUAAAUCCUCAGUUAUCUGGGAGCACAUCAUUAAAAUCACCUAUAGGCAAUACAUUCUUACAACUGUUUCCUAUGUGGUACUACAGAGGAUCCAUGUAUAAUUACUGUAUUUCUAAAACUAUAAUACAAUAAUUUAUUUAUGUCUUACUUCUUCCAUUAACCAUGAUUGCAACAAGAACUACAUCUUGUCAUCUUAUUUUAUCACCAAAACCUAACCCAUAGGUUCUCAAUAAAUAGUUGCAAAGUGAGUAUAUUAAAAAACAGUAAUUAUAGGCCAGGCACGGUGGCUCACACCCGUAAUCCCAGCACUUUGGGAGGCUGAGGUGGGUGGAUCACGAGGUCAGGAAUUCGAGACCAGCCUGACCAACAUGGUCUCUACUAAAAAUACAAAAAUUAGCCAGGCAUGGUGGCGCACGCCUGUAAUCCCAGCUACUCAGGAGGCUGAGGCAGGAGAAUUGCUCGAACCUGGGAGGCAGAGAUUGCAGUGAGCCGAGAUCACGCCACUGCACUCCAGCCUGGGCGAAAGAGCAAGACUCCAUCUCAAAACAAAAACAAAAACAAAAAAACAGUAACAAUUUUCUUGAACUUCUGAGGGUGAUUUCCUUUUCUGAUACAAAGACAUCCAAAGAAAUCUCAGAGAGUCUCUAUUUUAGAAUCAGUAUUAAAUAUAUAUACAUAUAUAUAUGUGUGUGUGACUAUGUCACAAAGUCUCUGAAACACAUAAGUUUAAUCUCAAAAACUAUCUCUACUUGUUUUUUAUUUGUUAGUUUCCUGAUAUAGGUUUGAUUUGGAAUCAAAUAGAAAGGUCAGGCUUUUCCAGACAGACAGGAAAACCAAUAUGAAUUACUGAAUAGAUCCCCUCAACUAGAAAGUCUCUGCUGGAAUGAACUUUGUCUAAUUUUAUCAAGUGCACCAAGAACAGCUUCUUUCAGAAAUUAUCGAGACAGCAUCACCUUUUGAUUCUUUAAUAUCAACAGAUCAAAAAGCAUUUGGUGAUUUCUCUGUAUUUUAUAUCUCUUUGUU